UACGUAGGGUGCGAACGUUAUUCGGAAUCACUGGGCUUAAAGGGCGCGUAGACGGGCCUGCGCAUCGGACGCUGAAAGCCCCCGGCUCAACCGGGGAACGGGCGCCGAGAUGGCCGGCCUCGAGUGGAGGAGGGGGACCUGGAACUGCCGGUGGAGCGGGUGAAAUGCGUUGAGAUCAGCAGGAACGCCGACGGCGAAAGCAGGGUCCUGGACUCCAACUGACGUUGAGGCGCGAAAGCCAGGGUAGCGAACGGGG
rnacentral:rRNA from 1 species